CGCCGCGGUGGCGUGGGCGGCGGCUUCAAAACUGGGGGCGGACGCGGUCGCCGCGGUGGUU
rnacentral:tRNA from 1 species